CACACCACCGACGUCUUCUUCCACUAAAAGAUCAUUAAGACAAUACUUUUUGUGUUAUUAUUUAUAUCUUUUUACUGCAACAAACGACAACACUUCGUACCGCUAAAUUGCUCUUAAAUUACUGUUAUGACAGACACAAAACUGCUCGAAUGGGUAAAUUAACAGAAGGCUGUCUGACUGGGGGCUUUUCGAGGAGAGGAAGAAAAUCGUCAGUCUUGUAAUUGAUCUUAGCAAGGAUGGAUGCAACUACUCGAUUGGACAAAAUAAAAAGCUGUUAUUAAUAAAAAUAAUAUUUCGGAAAUCACCACAAUGGCGCAAGUUGGUACAUCGAACGCUUCUGGUGAAAACAAUAAAAAUGAUCAGCGGAUUGAGAAAAUGGAAUCGAUACGGAGACCGGCUGUACGUUCGCAUCAAACGGUUCAUAGAUGCAUCAUUGUUGCCACGGCAUUUCAAAGAUGGCUGGUGGUGGAAUUGUGCGACGAAAUGACGAAAAUUGGUAUAUAUAAAAGAUCUACUCCGAUGACAAUAGCAGAAGAAUGAAAAAUCGACAAGAACAGCAAGCUUCAACGGAAAUUGAAUAUUUACUGCGAUACAUAGAACCAGGAAGAACGGACCAAAAUAGAGGAAACCAGGAACCAAAAUAACGUUAACAGAAACGAAUUGUAUUAGAAAAUUCAUAUGUUCAUAAUCCACGUUAUCCUUUCUUUUCAGUAAGGACAGCCAAAUAAAGUUUGGAAAAUUGACACCGACAUCACGUCUUCACGAUGGAAGGAUAGCAACAACAUUUUAUUAUGAAGACAUAAUGGAGCAAUGCGGGGGCAGCACAAGGAUCAUGAAUUCAAAAAUAAGACUCAUGGAUAUACAACAAGAUAGAGAUUUUCAAGAAUUCAAGGAAAUAUGUCAUGACUAUUAUACGGCUUUUUGCAAGAUCAGCGCCAUAUUCGGGAAAACGAAGUCAGGAUUGAUGUAAAUGGCGGACAUUGUUACUGAUUUUAUCAUCUAUUACAAAACCAAAAAUCACGAAAAUAACAAAAAAACAACUUCAGGCAAAUUGAGGAAGCAAAAUUUUCCUUAUAGGAAAAUAAGGAAAUAGCAGCAGAAGGUAGUAUUUUUUAUUAUAUAUUUCAUAUAAUCUUUACGAGAUUACUAUGGUCUGGGUUACUCAUAAAAACCAAGGCCAUAGAAUCAUGAACAAAAUCAAAGUUAUCGCAAGAUAUACGUAGUCUAAAAAGUAAAGUAGAUUAAAUUUAAGCAAGAGAUUAAACUGAAGAAUAAUAUUCUACAAACCCAUAUUCGGAAACUACAACUACUAAAACAUAAAGAGUAGGGGAGGAGAAGAAUGUAGGGAUCGAGAGCAGGAAGGAAAAUAAAUAUAUAUCAUAGAUUCGAAUAGUGCAAGUAACAACCAUUUCAUGAUGAUCAGAUAAUCAGAUAAUCAGAUAGGAACAUACAAAUAUAAGUUUAUUAAGUAGAAGAUGAAAACAGUUACGAUAGAAUAGCGAUUAACGAAAAGUAUCGGUGCAUUCAAAAUAAAAAUCAGGUUAAUCGCAGAGAGAGUGAGAUAGCGAGAUGAGAUACAUCCGUUCGUACGGAAGUGUCAAAAUAGGAGGCUUUUCGAGGAGAGGAAGAAAAUCGUCAGUCUUGUAA